ACUCUAUAACUAUAUAUAUAACCAACAAAACAUACCUAAAACAUAAUCAUUAUUUACCAUUUAAAACUGUACCUAAAUAACCAACCAAUCAAUCAUAGAACAUAUUCAUUAUUUGCCAUCAUAAACCACACCUAAAUAACCAAUACAUAAUCAAUAUAUAUAUUCGUCAUAUAGCCUAUAGGAACAUACACCAUGAGUAAAAAAAAAUACAUCCAUCAUUUACCUCAUUACUCAAGCCGAAUUAUAUGACCAUCCACACAAGAUAUACCAUAUAACAUACUUCCAAAAUAACCUAAUUACAUGGUCGAUUUAUACAUCAUACUUAACAUUACUUUCAAGCCAUUUCGCAUGGCUAUAUAUAUACCAUUCAAAACAAAGCUUAUCGAAAAUAGCUUAUACAUCAUUUACAAGCCAACUCACAUGGCUAAUUUCAUAUCUCAAAACAUAUCCUAUUGACACUAACCUAUACAUGUCAUAUACCAUAUAUACACAACUCAAAAGUACCAAGUAGAUGGUUGGAUAGUGUGAAGUAGUCUCUGACGAUUCCCGAAUUUGAGCUAGCCUUGAAUUCACUAUAAAACACAGGAAAAACAAACAAGGUAAGCUACAAAUCUUAGUAAGUUCGUACUAAAUAUACUCAACAAUUCAUAAAACACAAAUCAUUAAUUUGAACAAUUUAAUGUAUAAUUCAUGAUAAUAUCAAACAUUCCAUAAGCUUAUUCAUAUACUUAUAUGCAAAGUUUUAACCUAUUCUAUUUGAAAUUCAUACUUACAUGUACAUACCUGUACAAAUUCAUAACGAAUUCAUAUAUUCGCGUAACACUAUCGAAUACUCAAUGUUUCGCACACUAAAUGCCAUCGCAUAGCCGAAGCUAUUAUAAUCCCACACACUAAGUGUCUUACAUAGCCGAAACUAUCUCUGUCUCGCACACUAAAUGCCAUAAAUAGCCGAAUUAGCUAUCUCAAAUCGCACACUAAGUGCUAAACAUAGUCGAUUAAUCGUCAAACAUGAUUGUAUUCUAUACAAUUUAUGCAAUAUCAAAGCAUUAAAAGCAUAAUUGUAACAAUGUUUAUCACGUACGAACUUACCUGGGAUGCUAAAAUGGUGAAUCGAGUCGUUUAGUCGAUAACUUCAGUUUUCCCCCGAUCUAGGUCUAAAUUUCGCUUUUCUUGAUCUAUAUAAUAUCAAAUUCAGCUUAUUCAAUCACUAAUUUAUUCAAUUUAAUCCAAAACACACAUUUGGGCACGUUUACACUUUUCCCCCAAAGUUUCACAUUUUUACAAUUUAGUCCAUAUUUCACAAAUACACAAAAUUCAUGAAAUUUAAUACCUUCCUAAGUUAGCCGAAUUUUCCUAGUGCACAUAUCAGCCCAUAUUUAUCAUUUAUUCACACAUUUAACCACAUGUUUUCACAUUUUCACAAAUAAAUCCCUAUUUGACUUUUUUUGUCAAAAAUCACUUAACAAAAUAUGAUAAUCUAUCAACAAAUAUCCAUUUUUCAUCAUCAAACAUUUAAAAGCUUAAACAUUCAUCAAUGGCACUUCAUAAAAACAUUGACAAUUUCAAAAAUUAAGGCAUGGGCUAGCUAGAAUAUAAAGCAACAAUCUCAAAAACGUAAAAAUCAUCAAAAAUCGAGCUCAAAACACUUACCAAUUAAGUCCUAAUUGACCGAACCCUAAAAUGAACUAAAUGUUUUCUUCUUCCAUUAUAUUCGGCCAAAGAAAGAUGAAAUGAAGGUUAGUUUUGGUUUUGUUUUAAUUUAAUUAAAUUUAAAUCACAAAUUACUUAAUUAACCUUAACGAAAUAACAUUAAAUAUAUAUAAUGGUUGUCCAUAAAUGUCCACUUACACAAUCAAUGGUCUAAUAUCAUCAUAAGAACCUUUGGUUUAAUUAAUCAUAGCAAUUAAACACAUUUAACAUAUAGAAUGCCACUUUUGCAUUUUACGCGAUUAAGUUCUUUUUCUCAAAUUGAGCUAUUAAACGAUAAAAUUAAAUCACGAAACUUUCACACAUAUAUAAUCACAUGCUUUAAACACCAAAAAUAAUAUUAAAAUAAUUUUUCAACCUCGAAUUUGUGGUUUCGAAACCACUGUUCCGAUUUAGCUAAAACCGGGUUGUUACAAGGGGUUAAUGUUGCAAUAUUCUCAUCCCUUUUGUUGGGUGACUUUGGCCAUUUGUUGGUCGGCCCCUCACACCUCAUUAUGGAUGGAGAUGUAUUACACGUUCGCGCUUCAUUGGAUGUUUAUCUAUUAAUGAGCAUUUUCUCAACCUUUAUCUUUUACCUUUUAUGCUUACUAUGUGUAUGUAAAAUGCUUGUGUGGAAUUUGAGUUUAAUCAUGUGUUGAAUUGUUUUAUUGGUUGAUUGAUGAAUGGGUUACUUAGCUAAGUUAUUAUCUAUGUUUUGAUUGGUUGUUUGUUCAAGUGCAUUAAAUUGCAUAUUACACUAGAAUUGAUACCUCAAGUGGAAGAUUUAGAUAGACGAGAUCGAGAGGAGACUCUAUCAUGUAAGACUUUGAUAUACUUGUGUUGAGUACUGAGACCGAGAGGAGAUUUAUAUGCUUACAUGAGACCGGGAAGAGAACCUAGUGGUAUCUUUUAGUCUAGGAUGAGACUAAGAGGAGAUCCUUAACUAAGAGUGACAAACAAUAUGAUCAUCAUAGGUGUAUUAGCUUAGUUAUAAUCCAUGACUCAUUUAACCAUCAUUUCAAUCCAUUUGCAUAUUUUCUAAUAAAAAGGUUGAUAUUUUUAUUUGUUAAUUUAAAUUUAGUUUAUAAACAAUUUGUAAUUAAAUUUGCAUUAAUAAUUUUCAACUUUAUUAGAUUAGUAAUUGUUUAACUUGUAAUUAACUUGAUAAAGCAUUUACCAAUUUGGCAAUCCUUUAGGUUUGAUCCUUGGAAUCCUCUAGUGUUCCAUUGACAUUACAAAUAUGACAAUUGACACUGUACACUUACAAUUAAAAUCGCACUUUUAAAUCGUUUUAUAAAAUUGUUUAUUUUUUUGCGUACGCGCACGUGCGGUCAAAGACUCAACUCACUUUCACGAAAAUACAAAUAACAACGAUGUUGUCUUUGUAAUGAACCAACCUAAAACAAAAGUUAGUGUUUCUUUCAGAAAAAUUGGUUGAAUUGAAAAAAAAUUAUAAAUUUUUUAAAAUUCUUUCAUUACUCAACAAAAAAAAUCAUUAAAAAAAAGGUGAUUACUUGUGGAGGGAGAAGAAUGGACGAAAUAGAUAGAAAUGAGAAUGAAUGAGGGUGAGAAUGAAAAGAAUUGUUGAUGCGUAAAAAAACUUAGGUGACGUAAUAUUAUUGAGAGGAACCAGAUUUAUAUAGUAAGAAGGAUCUACUUAAUAUUUUUUCUUGAUGAUGAGGUUGGAGUUGUUAAAAAAAAAAGAGAAAAGCGUGGAAGAAAAAAAAGUAAAAAUAAAUAAAUAAAGUGUCACAUGUUAUAAUUUAAUUGGUUCGAAAAGAAAUUUUAGUGGACCUAUCAUUGUCACGAAAUCAUAGUUUAAAUGUCUAAUUCAACCAAAAAAAAAUGAAGUACCUAACUCAAAAAAGUGAUAUAGUUUGAGGACUGAUUAUUGAAUUAAGCAUAAUUUUUUCUAGUAUGAUAUGUAUAUAUAGUGGUUUUCUGUAUCUACUUGAAAGAAAAAGAAUAUUUUUAACCUAUAGCUUUGAUAUGAGUGACUUACAACUGUUGGCGCCGUAAUAAAUCCGUUACCACACCCACGUGCCACUAUCCUCUUUGCUGUCAACCAGCAUAAAUUUACCCCUAAAAGAUGAAGUAAAAAUGAAAAUGAUAUUUACCGUUUACCCAUAUGGGUUUAUAUUUGGCACGUGUGAAACAGAACACAACUACCAGUCGGGGCGUAGAAGUUCGGUUUGUUUGAAAGUUCCGAAACAGCUCCCUUCCCAACCCCAUCUCUUAUGUCUCUGUGCAUCUACUUUCCAACUAACAUUCCAAACCUCAACUAAUUCUCAAACUUCAUUAAUUAUUUCUCUCUCUUUUUCUAUUUCCUAUUUAUCACCUUCCUUAAAUUUAUUACUCAAAAUUGGAUCAUUUAUAAACUUACCUAAUUUUUUACACCUUUUAUUUUAAUUAUCCAAUUAUGGAGAGUCAAAAAAUAUAUAUUUGGAUCACUGGAAUUAAAUUGUAUAUUUUUACGAUAAUAGAAAUGCAAUCUCAUCAUUUUAAUUUUCUAUAUCUUUAUAACUUUUAAAUAAUUCAAUCAAAUUUUAUUAUUUUUAGGGGACCAAAAUAUAAAUUUGAUAAAUUAUAAAUAAUCUAAAUUUUAAAAAAAAAUCAUUUUAAGGGACCAAACCCCUACCAACCCUUGACUCCAUUAGGACUUUUAUUAUAUAAAAGAAGUAAUUCAUCAAUAGACAUUAUUUUUGUUUUUUUCUUACCUACGAGUUUACAUUAGAUUAUUUAUAAUAAAAUGAUUCUUUGAGUUUAGUAAAAGAUUAAAAAUCCAUUUUCUUUAUAAAUCAAUAAACUGAAUUAUAAGGGUAUUUCAAAUUUUAUAUAUAAUAUUUUUUAGAAAAUGGUUUUUUUCAAAAAAAAAAAAAAGAAGAAAUACCUCUACUGGAAAUUUAAUGAUAUUUAUUUUAAAAAUAAAUAGUUGUCUCAUAAAAAAUAUUUAUAACUUUCUUUUAGUACUUGCCAUUUUUAUUUUAAAAAUAUUUUCUAUUACAUUAUUUUAAAAAUAUUUAUAACAUAUAUUCAAAUAAAAGGUAAAAAGAAAAUAAUGGGCUAAGCAGUCCUGGCGCACAAAGAGUUGUCGUGUUACACGCGCUGAGAUGAGGAAGGUGGGCCAAAGUGCUCCGUUUUGAUGAAAAAAUUAUUGAAAGUACUUUGUAUCGGAGAGUCAAAAGAAAAUGGAGACAGUUAGUUGGCGGUAUUAUCACACACUCUCUCUUACCCCGUGUAAUCCACCAAUCCCAAUCCAAAAAUAACCAACAAACAUUAAUAUGUCACUCUAUAACUAUAUAUAUAACCAACAAAACAUACCUAAAACAUAAUCAUUAUUUACCAUUUAAAACUGUACCUAAAUAACCAACCAAUCAAUCAUAGAACAUAUUCAUUAUUUGCCAUCAUAAACCACACCUAAAUAACCAAUACAUAAUCAAUAUAUAUAUUCGUCAUAUAGCCUAUAGGAACAUACACCAUGAGUAAAAAAAAAUACAUCCAUCAUUUACCUCAUUACUCAAGCCGAAUUAUAUGACCAUCCACACAAGAUAUACCAUAUAACAUACUUCCAAAAUAACCUAAUUACAUGGUCGAUUUAUACAUCAUACUUAACAUUACUUUCAAGCCAUUUCGCAUGGCUAUAUAUAUACCAUUCAAAACAAAGCUUAUCGAAAAUAGCUUAUACAUCAUUUACAAGCCAACUCACAUGGCUAAUUUCAUAUCUCAAAACAUAUCCUAUUGACACUAACCUAUACAUGUCAUAUACCAUAUAUACACAACUCAAAAGUACCAAGUAGAUGGUUGGAUAGUGUGAAGUAGUCUCUGACGAUUCCCGAAUUUGAGCUAGCCUUGAAUUCACUAUAAAACACAGGAAAAACAAACAAGGUAAGCUACAAAUCUUAGUAAGUUCGUACUAAAUAUACUCAACAAUUCAUAAAACACAAAUCAUUAAUUUGAACAAUUUAAUGUAUAAUUCAUGAUAAUAUCAAACAUUCCAUAAGCUUAUUCAUAUACUUAUAUGCAAAGUUUUAACCUAUUCUAUUUGAAAUUCAUACUUACAUGUACAUACCUGUACAAAUUCAUAACGAAUUCAUAUAUUCGCGUAACACUAUCGAAUACUCAAUGUUUCGCACACUAAAUGCCAUCGCAUAGCCGAAGCUAUUAUAAUCCCACACACUAAGUGUCUUACAUAGCCGAAACUAUCUCUGUCUCGCACACUAAAUGCCAUAAAUAGCCGAAUUAGCUAUCUCAAAUCGCACACUAAGUGCUAAACAUAGUCGAUUAAUCGUCAAACAUGAUUGUAUUCUAUACAAUUUAUGCAAUAUCAAAGCAUUAAAAGCAUAAUUGUAACAAUGUUUAUCACGUACGAACUUACCUGGGAUGCUAAAAUGGUGAAUCGAGUCGUUUAGUCGAUAACUUCAGUUUUCCCCCGAUCUAGGUCUAAAUUUCGCUUUUCUUGAUCUAUAUAAUAUCAAAUUCAGCUUAUUCAAUCACUAAUUUAUUCAAUUUAAUCCAAAACACACAUUUGGGCACGUUUACACUUUUCCCCCAAAGUUUCACAUUUUUACAAUUUAGUCCAUAUUUCACAAAUACACAAAAUUCAUGAAAUUUAAUACCUUCCUAAGUUAGCCGAAUUUUCCUAGUGCACAUAUCAGCCCAUAUUUAUCAUUUAUUCACACAUUUAACCACAUGUUUUCACAUUUUCACAAAUAAAUCCCUAUUUGACUUUUUUUGUCAAAAAUCACUUAACAAAAUAUGAUAAUCUAUCAACAAAUAUCCAUUUUUCAUCAUCAAACAUUUAAAAGCUUAAACAUUCAUCAAUGGCACUUCAUAAAAACAUUGACAAUUUCAAAAAUUAAGGCAUGGGCUAGCUAGAAUAUAAAGCAACAAUCUCAAAAACGUAAAAAUCAUCAAAAAUCGAGCUCAAAACACUUACCAAUUAAGUCCUAAUUGACCGAACCCUAAAAUGAACUAAAUGUUUUCUUCUUCCAUUAUAUUCGGCCAAAGAAAGAUGAAAUGAAGGUUAGUUUUGGUUUUGUUUUAAUUUAAUUAAAUUUAAAUCACAA
rnacentral:lncRNA from 1 species